AUUGAACGCUGGCGGCAUGCCUUACACAUGCAAGUCGAACGGUAACGCGGGGCAACCUGGCGACGAGUGGCGAACGGGUGAGUAAUGUAUCGGAACGUGCCCAGUUGUGGGGGAUAACUGCUCGAAAGAGCAGCUAAUACUGCAUACGACCUGAGGGUGAAAGCGGGGGAUCGCAAGACCUCGCGCAAUUGGAGCGGCCGAUAUCAGAUUAGGUAGUUGGUGGGGUAAAGGCUCACCAAGCCAACGAUCUGUAGCUGGUCUGAGAGGACGACCAGCCACACUGGGACUGGGACACGGCCCAGACUCCUACGGGAGGCAGCAGUGGGGAAUUUUGGACAAUGGACGCAAGUCUGAUCCAGCCAUGCCGCGUGCGGGAAGAAGGCCUUCGGGUUGUAAACCGCUUUUGUCAGGGAAGAAACGCUCUGGGUUAAUACCUCGGGGUAAUGACGGUACCUGAAGAAUAAGCACCGGCUAACUACGUGCCAGCAGCCGCGGUAACAC
rnacentral:rRNA from 1 species